AGAUUUCCAAACCUGAGAAAAACUAUGGAGGUAUUGCUGUGUCUACCUCGCAGCAAUGCUGACUGUGAGAGGGUAUUCUCACAGGUAAUCUCUCUCUCAGCCAAUUUCUAUUAACCCUGCUCUAAGAUAUUGAGAAUGCUGACCGGAUUGAUGACAGCCAGUUUGGCCAGAUGACUAACGACUAUCAAAACACCAUGCAAGUUGCAGUACAAACGAGGUCACCUGAUGCCCAACCUACAAGGCCCACAGACCUGCUGAGCGGUUUACGGCCUGUACCCACUUACAGCCCAGUGUCCAGCCAACCAGUCAGUCAUCAGUCAUCCGGCCAAACUGGCUUUCAAAACACCAUGCAAGUUGCAGUACAGUCACCUGAUGCCCAACCUUCAGCAUUUGAAAGGGAGAUUCUUAUACAAGUGAACACCAUCCGGGAGACCCAGCUGCUAAUCCUCAUGCAGCUACAACAGCUCAGUAACACCGGGGUCAGUGGGGCAGCUCCUGACCCAAGAAAGUUUAGGCUCCCUCUCAAGACACCAGAAGACCUUAAACACCUUGAGCAAAUCUUAUAGACAGAGGAGGAGAAGAAGAAGAACUUGUGUUUCGCUGGACAAACAACGAGCGAGCUACAGCGCGCGUACGGCUUAACCAGAUCUUGUGCUAUGGACCCUUUUCACGUGACGUCACGACAAACGCGGCCGCCAUUUUGGACGUGUACUACCAGUAGUUUACCACAGCCAACAUUGAGGAAUGGCAGCAAAGAAAGUUUUUACUUUCAGCAAGACUUCCAUCAUGCCACUAUAUUGUUGUGCACCUGGAUGUAGUAACCAUCAACAAACAAGGCAAGGUUUAUCAUUUUAUCGGAUCCCAACGGAGAAGAUGGAUAGCGGCCAUUAACAGAUUGGCAGCCCUCGGCAUACCAGCGCUUGUGUACUGACCACUUUGUUGGAGACUGUUCUCCUGGGAACGGUGGGGGGAUUGUCACUUAAAGAUACAAUCUGGCGUAUCCUGAAAAGAACAAUUGACACCUCCCUGGCAAAACGUACAAACUGGAGUGGGGCGAAUCAAAAAGUAGCCUUUAAAGGCCUGCUUUUAAAAAAUGUGAUCGUGGAUGCAGUCCGCUCAAAUACUCUCACCCAAGCCGCAACAGAUAAGGAAAUAGAGAUCCUUAUCAUUAGAUGGCUUCAACUUGCCGCGGACAGAGAUGGUGGCAGAAGCCGGAGAGCAAGAUCUCUCUCACACACACACACAUCGUAAAUUCAUUAAAAUGUAAAUCCAAAUUCA